AGUGAACGCUGGCGGCAGGCCUAACACAUGCAAGUCGAACGGCAGCACAGUAAGAGCUUGCUCUUACGGGUGGCGAGUGGCGGACGGGUGAGGAAUACAUCGGAAUCUACUUUUUCGGGGGGGAUAACGUAGGGAAACUUACGCUAAUACCGCAUACGACCUACGGGGGAAAGCAGGGGAUCUUCGGACCUUGCGCGAUUGAAUGAGCCGAUGUCGGAUUAGCUAGUUGGCGGGGUAAAGGCCCACCAAGGCGACGAUCCGUAGCUGGUCUGAGAGGAUGAUCAGCCACACUGGAACUGAGACACGGUCCAGACUCCUACGGGAGGCAGCAGUGGGGAAUAUUGGACAAUGGGCGCAAGCCUGAUCCAGCCAUACCGCGUGGGUGAAGAAGGCCUUCGGGUUGUAAAGCCCUUUUGUUGGGAAAGAAAAGCAGCAGGUUAAUACCCCGCUGUUCUGACGGUACCCAAAGAAUAAGCACCGGCUAACUUCGUG
rnacentral:rRNA from 1 species